rnacentral:rRNA from 1 species
AGAGUUUGAUCCUGGCUCAGGAUGAACGCUAGCGAUAGGCCUAACACAUGCAAGUCGAGGGGCAGCAUAGAGUAGCAAUACUUUGAUGGCGACCGGCGCACGGGUGAGUAACACGUAUGCAACCUACCUACAUCAGGGGAAUAACCCGGAGAAAUUCGGACUAAUACCGCAUAAUACAGGGAUGCCGCAUGGCAAUAUUUGUUAAAGAUUUAUCGGAUGUAGAUGGGCAUGCGUUCCAUUAGCUAGUUGGUAAGGUAACGGCUUACCAAGGCAACGAUGGAUAGGGGAACUGAGAGGUUUGUCCCCCACACUGGAACUGAGACACGGACCAGACUCCUACGGGAGGCAGCAGUGAGGAAUAUUGGUCAAUGGACGAGAGUCUGAACCAGCCAAAUCGCGUGAAGGAAGACUGCCCUACGGGUUGUAAACUUCUUUUGUACAGGAAUAAAAGACAUUACGUGUAAUGUAUUGCAUGUACUGUACGAAUAAGCAUCGGCUAACUCCGUGCCAGCAGCCGCGGUAAUACGGAGGAUGCGAGCGUUAUCCGGAUUUAUUGGGUUUAAAGGGUGCGCAGGCGGGAUUUUAAGUCAGCGGUGAAAUUUUCAGGCUCAACCUGAACACUGCCGUUGAAACUGGGAUUCUUGAGUAUGGAUGAAGUGGGCGGAAUUCGUUGUGUAGCGGUGACAUGCUUAGAUAUAACGAGGAACUCCGAUUGCGUAGGCAGCUUACUAAGCCAUAACUGACGCUCAAGCACGAAAGCGUGGGGAUCAAACAGGAUUAGAUACCCUGGUAGUCG